CGCCGAGGACCUGGGAUCGAAUCCCACUCCCGACAAACUCACAAAGUGUGAGAUCUUCCUUCGGAAGGGAAAUAAAGCGUGGGUUCCGAGAUGAACUAGCCUAGGGCUAAAAAUCUCGUUUUUUUUUCUCUGUUCGGGACAUAACCACUGCGACCAAUAUUUUGAUCUAUUGUGGUAUACCCCGUGUCCUUUGUAUAGUGCAUGUCGUAUUACUUUAUCACCAUUGAGAAGUUAUAAAGUAUUCGGUUUUGUUACAGUGGUCAUUUUCAACAUAAUCGCAAGGAAGGAUUCUGAUUGAUAGGUUCCGCUUUUAACACGCUC